rnacentral:rRNA from 1 species
AUGUCGAGAGGGAAACAGCCCAGAGCAUCGACUAAGGCCCCUAAGCGUACGCUAAGUGGGAAAGGAUGUGGAGUCGCACAGACAACCAGGAGGUUGGCUUAGAAGCAGCCACCCUUGAAAGAGUGCGUAAUAGCUCACUGGUCUAGUGAUUCCGCGCCGACAAUGUAGCGGGGCUCAAGCGUACCGCCGAAGUCGUGUCAUUGCAGCAUAUAGCCCUAACGGGUGUUGUGAUGGGUAGGGGAGCGUCGUCUGCCGGGUGAAGCAGCACCGGAAGGUAGUUGUGGACGGUUGACGAGUGAGAAUGCAGGCAUGAGUAGCGAUUCACACGUGGGAAACGUGUGCGCCGAUUGACUAAGGGUUCCUGGGUCAAGCUGAUCUGCCCAGGGUAAGUCGGGACCUAAGGCGAGGCCGACAGGCGUAGUCGAUGGAUAACCGGUUGAUAUUCCGGUACCCGCUGUGAAGCGUCAAACAUCGAGCCCAUUAAUGCUAAGGCCGUGAAGCCGCCCCGGAGCCUUCGGGCAAAGGGGAGUGGUGGAGCCGCCGGCCCAAGGUGGUAGUAGGUGAGUGAUGGGGUGACGCAGGAAGGUAGUCCAUCCCGGGCGGUGGUUGUCCCGGGGUAAGGGUGUAGGACGUCAGGUAGGUAAAUCCGCCUGGCAAUAGUCUGAGACCUGAUGCCGAGCCGAUUGUGGUGAAGUGGAUGAUCCUAUGCUGUCGAGAAAAGCCUCUAGCGAGUUUCAUGGCGGCCCGUACCCUAAACCGACUCAGGUGGUCUGGUAGAGAAUACCGAGGCGUUCGGGUGAACUAUGGUUAAGGAACUCGGCAAAAUGCCCCCGUAACUUCGGGAGAAGGGGGGCCACGCUUGGUGAGAGCACUUGCUGCUCGAGCUGGGGGUGGCCGCAGAGACCAGCGAGAAGCGACUGUUUACUAAAAACACAGGUCCGUGCGAAGCCGUAAGGCGAUGUAUACGGACUGACGCCUGCCCGGUGCUGGMAUCGUUAAAGGGGACCGGGUUAGCUUACUUUCCGGAUGGYGAGCUUUAAA